rnacentral:lncRNA from 1 species
GCUUCCUUUCCUUCUUCAAAACCCUAGCCGCCGUUGCUCUCUCCCUCGCCCUUUUCUUUUUCUUUUCUCUGCCUUUUUCUCCUUAGCCCUCAACCGAGAGCCUCUCCCUCUGUUUUUUCUUUCUCUGUUUUCUUUUUUCUCUCCCCCCCAAACGAAGCUCUCUGUUUUUUUUCUCUCAAUUUCUCCUAGUCUCCCUCAUCCAGCCGUCAACUCUACUAUCCUCCCCUCUUUUCUCCCGUUGUCUCCCUUUUUCGGUCCUCACUCCCCUCUCAAAAACCUAAGCCAACCAAGUGUCUAGACACCUAACCCCUUAGGUGUUGUGUUGUCAACCUAUAAUGAGGACAUUUGUCCCACAUGCAAGAUUCCACCUAUUCACACAUUAUAUUUUUUUUUCUCCAAAAAUUAAUUUAAGUAAACAAACAAAUGAUUAAAACAACUUUUUUUUCUUUUUUCUUUUUUUUUUUGGAAAAUUUUCUUUCUCUGAAAUUUAAUACUAAAAAUGUCUAAAAUAAAAACUAAGAGACUAGAAAUGAAUAAUAAUUAACAUUUAACCAAUGAAAAAUAAAAAUAAUAGCACAUAAAACUAAAUUAAAAAUUUGGUGUCUACAGUUUGCCCCUCUUUGUCUGAGUUUCGAAGAAACUCGAGACAAAGACGUAGACACCAAAUACUCACCUGUGGUUAUUCUGUUGCAAACUACUCGAACGACUGACGCUUUUGAAAUGAGGACUGAUCCCUUUAACAAAAAAUUUCAAAAUGGGACUGAUCCCUUUAACAAAAAAUUUCAAAAUGGGAUUGACCCAGACAAGAAAUUUAAAACGGGACUGACUCGAACGAAAAAUGUAAACCGGGACUGACCCGAACAAGAAAUUUAAAACGGAACUGACUCGAACAGGAAAUUAAAACGGGACUGACCCGAUCAGGAAUUUAAAAACGGGAUUGAUCCGAACAGGAAAUUUAAAAUGGGACUGAUGUGACGCCCCCGCUUCUCCCAAGGGCGAACCCUAGGGUAUCGGCGGGACGCCUGCCUAGCUCGCGCCAGGACUCAAAAUUUAAAACAAUAAAACUAGAUAAACCCACAAGCGUACUAUUCACUAUAUAUCUAAUGCCAAAAGAGUUCUAUUUACAUCUUCAAAAGUAUCGAGUCAAACCACUCUAAUACAUUAGAAUAACAACCAGCAGAAGGUAGACCCUAUGGAGGGUCCUUAUACAAACCACCAAAACAAAAAACAAACAUCCUAAUUGUCCGACUAUUACAAUCAAACCUAACUAUACUAGUGAAGGUGCCAAGAAGUUCCCCGCGUCGUCCCCUGCUAAGGAAAACAAAGGAAACGGGGUAAGCUAGAAGCUUAGUAAGUAAACAGGAUAAAAGUGUAAAAUUUCACAUUUAAAGAAACAGCUAUUCCACAAAAUGUCAAGUCGAGUGCAAAAGUAAAAAUACAAAGAAAGGAUACAGGUUGGCUCCAAAGCCAAGUCAUUUGCCAUGCGUGAUCUCCUGUCGACACUCCGUCAACCAUAAAUAAGGUCCGUAGAACUCCACUUGUACACCCACCGAACACCUUAUCACCCUCACUGGCCAGUCACCUCACAAACUUGCCCGGGCGAACGAAAUCAUAAACUUGAGCUUGAGUCACAAGCUCGGGUCACAAACUUGGUCCACAUUCUCGGUGAACCGGAUUCACAAACUUGGUGACCUCAGACUAAGUUGGACUGGCUUCGACCAAGCCCUGACCGGCUCGAAUAGUCCAUCUAGGUCGGAAGAUCAACCCCAACUUACAAACGUCACCCCGAGCUACAAGCUCAAGGGGUUCAAACCCAAAACUCACAAACGUCACCCCAAGCUACAAGUUCAAGGGGUUCAAACCCAAAAUAAUUCAUGUAUACACAUCUCAUAAAGAAACAUAGGUACAAAGUAGGGUUUAGGUCGAGUGUGAUAAAGUACACCCUCGCCUAAGUUCCCCUUUUAUUCACAUCAAAACACAUAAGCAGUUUAUACACAUAAACGGCCUGAAUACUUACACAACGAACAAAAGAGCAAAAGUACGAAAUUCGUGCCGCGAGGAGUAGCUAGUAGGCCCCACCGGCUCCACCUAGCUCAUCAACGUCUGAAAUUGAAGAUUGCAUCACAUAUUAUCACAAACGGCCACUAACAUGCCCAAAACAAGCAAAACGGCAAAAUCGGCACAUGCAAGUGCGGAAACGGCAAAAUGGGCGCACGCGCGCGCGCGAAACGGCAAACGGAAAUGGCCAAAUCUGCCAUCUCAAACCAUUUUGAUCAAAAGUUAGGCUAGGAAUGUCGGAUCAAGGUGAACGAGACACCAUUUCGAAGCUAUGAGGAAGGGCUACAAUUCUCAUGAAGACACCUUAAUCUAGAUCUGAAUGGAAGCAGGUCGAAAUUAUGGAAAACAGUACCAGAAAUUUACGUGUUCGGGUGACGAACAGGGUUUGUUUGCUGGACCAUAACUCACAGCUCACAAAUCCAAAUCAAGAAAUUCCAUAGGUGUUGGAAAUCUAGGACAUAAGGCUACAACUUUCAUGUUUGGACCAAAAGCUGAAUCAAUACAGAGCAUGGAGAAAAAUAGGUCCAAACAUUCCUGUCAGAACUGUCCAAAUUCGAAGGCAGUUCUGACAACCGAUCUUGUUUUGGUCAUAACUGGAGCUACGGGACUCGGAUUUGGAUGAACUUUAUACCGUUUCGAAGCUGAAACCAAGAUAUAUAUUUAUUAUCAAGGGGUAAACACCCAGUUCAUACGUUAUCAAAACGGAUAAAGCAAGGUCAGAAGCAAAAUUCAGAACGUACGCAAUUCCAGGGUACAAAACAGGUGCGAGUGUUUUGGCUAUAACUCGGGCUACCUCAGUCCAAAUCAAGUGAUUCCGAAGCCAACCGAAAGCUAAGACAUCAGGUUACAUUUCUUAAGAAGACAUCAACAACCAAAUCAGAAGUAUUCCCAACCAAAUUAACCAAUUACAGAAGUAAUUAUCAAGUUCGGAUAGAAACAGGGCAGCAGGGGUAUUUCGGUGUUUUCACCGGCUACGUUGCUCCGAUUGAGCUGAAAUUUUGCAGGCACCUAUAAAAUACCAUUCUAUACAAUUUUCAUGUUUUAUGCCAAGCCUAAUUCGGCCUCUAAGAUGGUGCAAUAAAACCGGACAGAACAAGGCUGAAAUUUUCCAGAAAUCUGGGAAUUUUGGGAUUCAAUGAAACUUUCUUCAUUUCUUGCCUCAAUCCACCACCACAACCUCCUAUAUAAGCUUAGAUACAAUAUAUAUCAUCCAUAUAGCAAAUAUAGGCAGAAAUCAUCAAACCCUAACUUAUAUAUAUCUCCUUAAAAUCAUCCCAACAACUUGUAUCACAACUAAUCUAACCAAAACAUGAAUUAUAUAACAUCUUAAUCAAAAAUAAAAGAACCAAAGCUAUGGGUUAGACCUUGUACCUCAACAAAAGAAGCUUGCAAGAGUAAUACUUCACCUUCUCUUGGAAUUUUUGUUUCCCCUAGCUUCCCAAGAUCACAACUCACACUUUAAUCGGUUUAGUUUUUCUUGUUUUCACUCAUUCAAGCUCAAACCAAGAUUGAUUGAAGUUUCCUUUUCUUUUGUUUUUCCUCCCUCAACUCACGGCUGAUAUGCAGAAAUAAUGGAGGAAAUAGGUUGGUUUUUGGUGAUAAAUAUGGUGUAAAGUAGUUAGUCAACCAUCCAAUGAAAUACCGCCACUUGUCGCCACCAAUUCCAUUCAUUUUUUCCCUUCUCUCUCUUGGUAUUUAAAGUCAACAAUUGUGGCUGAUGGAUGAGAUAUUUUGAGGGUUAAUUAGCUGUAAUAAAAUAAGAAGAUUAAGGUAAUAAAGUAGGGAUCAAGUGGUGUGUUCAAUUGGUAGCGCGCGACACCCGUCGGUCCAAGCCGUUUGUCCUAAAAUCGCAUAUACUUGAGUUUUUAACUUCUAAUCACUAACUUAUUAUUAUCACUUCUAAUUAUAUAAUAUUUCCUCAUCCAAAAGUCACUCUUAGCUACCAAAUUUGAUCCUUACUCGGUACCGAAUAGGCACACUACGAAAAAAUGUGAAAACCCUAAUUUGUUCCAAUCUUGAAACCGAAAAGUGAAACCCUACUUUUUAGGUUCAUUUACACUUAUUGUGGAAUGACUGGGUAGUAGGGCUAUAACAAAUAAAUAAUUUUCAAAUAAAGGGCAUUGUUAAGAAAAACGUGAGGAAUUUUACAAUUCCAGUGAUUAAAAUUAGGGUUUCAAUUAAAAUAUGAGGGAUUUAAGAAAUCCGGUUAGUCACAAGUAAACUAGGGUUUUUGAUUAAAAUAUUAGGGUUUCUAAUCUUUUAAAACAAAAUAAGGUUUUAAAUCAAAUCCAAAGAAAUAGUAUUUUCUUUACAAACAACCUCCUAAUAUUCGGGGUGUCACAACUGACCCGAACAGGAAAUUUAAAACGGGACUGACUCGAACAAAAAAUUUAAAACGGGACUGACCCGAACAGAAAUUUAAAACGGGACUAACCCGAACAGGAAAUUUAAUACGGGACUGACCCGAAACUGCCAUGACAUUGGUCAGUGGGAUACAACCCAAGCCUGCCGAGUUUGGUGGUACAAAAUUCAAGUCCAACUGGAUGAAAUGAAGUGAAAUAAAGUGUUAAUGGGACUGACCCAUGUCUAACGAUAAGAUGAAUGAAGUACUCACUAGUGGGACUAACCCAUGUUUAGUGGCAAUGAAAAUGAAAUGUUGACUAGUGGGACUAACCCCUGUUUAGUGGCAACGUAAAUGAAAUGCUCACUAGUGGGAUUGACCCAUGUUUAAUGGCGGUGUAAAUGAAAUGCUCACUAGUGGGACUGACCCAUGUUUAGUGGCGAUGUAAAUGAAGUGCUCACUAGUGGGACUGACCCAUGUUUAGUGGCAGUGUAAAUAAAAUACUCACUAGUGGAACUGACCCAUGUUUAGUGGCAGUGUGAAUGACAAUGCUCACUAGUGGGACUAACCCAUGUUUAGUGGCAGUGUAAAUGAAAUGCUCACUAGUGGGACUAAUCCAUGUUUAGUGGCAGUGAUGAAUGAAAUGCUCACUAAUGGGACUAAUCCAUGUUUAGUGGCAAUGUAAAUGAAGUGCUGGUAUGUAUGAAGAAACUGUACAAGACUUAUUUGAACAAUUAUCCAAAGAUUUGCCCCAGUGUGAUGUGUUGUCAUCUUCAUUUGAAACUUUCCUUUCCCAAUCUCAUCAUCCAUGAUGUCCAUUUUUGUUCGACAAGCUGUUUUGUCAUCAAGUCCUUUUGAGACUUUCAAUUUCUGACAUUCCAUUGAGACGAACUUCUUUGUCUGGAAUUAAGAUUGUCAACUGUUCGUGUUCCAUUGUGCUUUCGCAGGGAUGAACAAAUCCAAAUGCUCUUUUAGCAAAUCAAGGGAUUGUCACUUGGCCAAAUCCAAUGAUUAUGGUCAUACACUUUAUUGAACAAAUGAUUGCAAAAAAUAUUGCAAAUUAUCGUUGUAAAGUGAAUCAAAAUAAAGUGGCCUUGGCAUGAAACGUCAUCCUUGGCCCUUUUGAAUAUCUCUGCUCCAGAGUUUCUAUGUUGGCGAAAGCACUGUAAAGAUGAGGAGACGUCCAAAUGAACCGAGUCACCAUCUGUUUUCACUCAUGUCUGCUCUUGAGAAAAUCCUAUCUUAGUGCCCUUUCGGGUUUUCACUAAGGUCGCCCUCACCCUUUUUUUGUUUUGUUUUUAUUUUUUUUUUGACUUUUUGAUUUUUUGAUUUUUGGAUUUUGGAUUUUUUCAUUUUUUUGAUCGAGAGAAUCUUUUCAAAAAUAAUUUGCCCCAAUGUAGGGCCCUUUUGUUUUCUUCUUUCUUCUUUUUUCCCUGGCAUCGGCCUUCCACAUUGCUAGGUGUUUCUUCAUUGAUUUCAGUCAUGAAUACCUGCACAGGGAGCUUACGAAAAUACAACAUGCACUUAACUUCCUUAUCUUAUUUUAAAAUUGAUGCACCUACUACUCAUGUAAAGAGCAGUAUGAUUAAUUCAAAAAUAUCUUGCUUGACUCUUGGACGAAAUUCUCAAAUGUGUUACAAAAAUUUGCCCCAGUAUGGACUUAUUUUGCGAAAUCUCACAAAUAAAAAUUUGCCCCAGUGUGAGCCCACUUGAUUUGCAAAAAAAAAUUAUUUGGAUGACUCUCUAUUUAUUUGAACAAAACAAAUUUCAUUUCCUAAAAUCUAGGAAAUAAUCACAUAUAAUGUGAAGAAAAAGUCUUGCUUAAACUUAUACAGCAAAUUUCAUGAUGAAUUUCUCGAAAUAAUACCAAAUUACAAAAGAUUUCUUCCUCACUUUAGCAUCGAUGCUUAGGGUAAUGGGUCAUCACUUCUUGCUAGCUCGUCUUUCAGGGCCAAUCAAGUGAUCUUAUUCUGAUUUUGAAAGGGCUAAGGGAAAUGAGAGGUCAGGAUUUGUCUUAUUCUUGUGCCCAAAUUGUAUGUAAUCCCUUCAAUAUCACAUCUUAGUGAAAACAAAUAGUUUGUCACCCUUAUUUCUUAAGAAAACUUAGUCAACAUAUAAGUUUUAUAAACUUGUAACAUACGGGUAGAAACGAUAGCUAAACAUAUGGAAACAGGUUAUAGCCUUAUGAUCACGAAUGAUUGAUAGAUUCCUUAGAAAUAUGAUCCUUACUUCGAAUUGUCAUGAAGGAUAAGUCAACGAUGGAUUUUAUUAGCUUGUAAAGUGGCUUGAAAACGAUAGUUAAAUAAAUAAAAUUUUUAAGGACAUUGCACUGAAGAUCGCAUUUCCUCCAAAAAAUUGCCCCAAUUUUGGGCUCAAAGAUCUCGACCUCUGUUUGGUUUUUAUAAUCACUCAACAAGGACUUUCAACAUCGAAUAUUUUUACAUUUUUUUUUGCAUUUAUUUCGCUCGCUUUUCCCCUUUUCUUUUUUUUUUUCAAAAGUGCCCUUGCAGGUUUUCACAUGAAGAGCAGUGUCAACCUCACAUCUAAUCAAUUCAAAUAUAUUUAAAAAUUCCUUGGCAUCAGUAUAUGAGCAUCACUUGCCAAUUAAAAAAUUUCUUGACAGAGAUAUUGCAAAGAACAGAAGUCAGGACUUUAGACUUUUGUAAUGGGGUCUAGUGGGGUGCUUAGAAAAAUUAAGGCUUGAAAGCGGAUUUCAAAAGUGGUUUAAAUGAUCUGAAAUCGCAUUGUUGCGCCAACCCCAUUUUUAGGGUUAAAUCAAAACCUGCCCCAAUUUAUUCUUAACUGAGGCUCUUUUCUCUUUCAUUUGCUUCUCUCUCUUUUCUUUUUGGCCUUCUGCCAUUCUUUUGAACUUUUCAAAAUUUGCCCCAAUUUAUGCUUAACUGAGAUUCUCUACUUUUUCUUUUGUUACUUUAUCACUUUUCACCUCUUGAAACUUUUCUUUUCCUUUGCAACUCAAACUUGCCCCAGUGUGGGGUUUGCGAUUCUCAGUGGUUGCCAAACGACGUAUUUUAUUUUGAAGGCUCGAAAGGGAUAAUUAGGAAUAGAAUGUUUGAUUGGAAAAGAAGAGGGUCUGACUUUUUAUUCCGUUCCUUACAAUAGCUCUAAAAGGAAACUUUCAUUAAUGCGAAAUUUCUUGCAUGUAUAUGAAUUAAUUGAUUGAGGAAGACUUCUGUUCAUCCAUAUCUGUGAAACAUAAGUGAUCCGCCGGACAAAACUCUUCCUUUUUUUCAAAAUUGAAUCCCAGAUAGAAUCAAAUUUCCCCAAUUUGUAAUUCCCUCUCUUCUUUUUCUGUUUCCGCAUUUUUGCCUUUUCUCUUUUUCUUGCAAAAAUUCUCCAAUCUCUUUCCCUAAUGUGGGGUGCGAUUAUAAAUGCUUUUGACAAGAACCACUCAUUUUAGCUCAAAUGAGGAUGCAAGGGAUAAAUAGUGUUUAGAUUGUAGAAACGAUGGCCAAAGUAUCAUUCUUACCCCUCAUGACAACCAAAGUAACAAAUAGCUUAUUGAAAAUCCAUUCCCUUUUGAUAUUUGAAAAUCUUUCAAUGUAGGGUAGUGAUUAUUAAGACUCUUAUUUGAAGCGAAAUUAUUCUUUCUCUCUUUUUUUUUAAAGGCUCAAAUGGGAGAGCAAAUGAUAAAAUUUGUAUAGAUAGAGAAAUGAACGCUUGAAGUAUCAUUCCAAAUUUUCAAAACAAAUAAAAAUAAUGUACAUUUUUGCUUUCACUUAAAUGUGGAUUGAAUCUGAUUAGACACAGUGGGCAUUUUCAAACAAAGAUUUCUCCAAUUUAUAAUUUAUCAAUCAAUGUGACUGAUUUUAUUAUGAGGUUAAUAAAAGUGGGCAAAAUAUGAAUUGUACAGUGAAGGAGAAAAAAGGGUAUUGCAUUGGGUCUUUUGAGUGACCUCUUUUAAUUCUGAACACUCUUAUUGUAUAGCUCGGAUCACCAAUCUAGUGUAUGUAAAGAUUUUAGAAAGCAUGCACUUGUGAAUUGUCAGGCUAGAGGUUGAAAAAAUCUCAAUUUAGUCUUAUUUCUUAAAAUUCAUCAUGAAAUCCCUCAAAUAGCCAAUAAAGAAUGAAAUAUACAUGAUUAUAUACAAACAAUAAUUGUCUAAAUAAAAACUUUAUUGCUGAAAAAGUUUAAGACAAAAUUAUAAUACAAAUGAGACAAGAAAAACUUCUAAAGAGCUCCACAUAUACACACUUUUUGACUCUUUUUCUUUUGAAACAAAAAUGUAUUAACAAAUCAAAUAAACAAAAUUUUCUCUUUGACAAACAAUUAUGAAGUCUCUUAGGUGCUUUAGCCUAGCGCCUCCAGAUAGAUUGUUCAAAUUGUAGGGUCUGUCCAAGAAUCAAUUGAUAAUUGUAAUUUUCAAGAUUUAUUCGAUAAAAAUCGUUAUCAGGUAUAGAAAAAUAUUUCCACCUUCUUGAAACAUCUUUUAUAAAUGUAGGGGAGGGGGAAAAAAAUAAAAAGAAAAAAUACCCAGAGUUAGUAAGUAAAAUUGUAAAAUCGGUAUGCAUGUCCUAUGGAGGAGCCCUUUUAUGCCAAGGGUAAGCCUAGUAUGAAAAUGCAAUCCUCUGGGGUAGGCACUAUACAAUACCUAAUGAAUCCGACCAACUUAUUGAGUGAAAAAUAAUUUGAAAAAUUUGGCCAAUUGAAGUGAGAAGAGACAUUUGUCCUAAAAAUGAGAACAAAGUCCGAAUGAAUUGCUUGCUUUGAUUAACACAUAAAAUGACGUGUAAAAGAACCUACUCUUGAAAGGAUUGCAAUGUCUCGACUAAUUUAUUCAGUUAACCUUAGACUUAAACCCUAAAGGGAAUAUGUGGGUCAAAUGAAUAGGAUGAAAUUGAUAAUUUAUUCAAAAUUGACUAGAUCACUCUAAAAAUAGAUAAACUGGUCCAAUGAAUUGAAUGGAGUUGAUGAUUUAUUCAAAAUUGAUCAGAUCACCCUAAAAAGGGUAAAUUGGUCGAAUGAAAUUGAUGAUUUAUUCAAAAUUGACCGGAUCAUCCUAAAAAGGGGUAAAUUGGUCAAAUGAAUGGAAUGAAACUGAUGAUUUAUUCCAAAAUUGACUAGAUUGUCCUAAAGAUGAAUGAAUUGACCAAAUAGAUUGGAUGAAUUUAAUGGAUAAUUUGAUCAAAUGAAUUGAAUGGAAAUGAUGGCUUAUUGAAUUGUCUACCUAUUGGUGCUUUCAAAAAAUCAUUGUGAUGCAUUAGUCUAUGAGUCUUCUAAAAUCAAGAUUUGGCCUCAAUAUAUUUAUCGUCUUAACAAAGAAGGAUCAUUUGUAAAUUUCUUCAAAUUAAUGUCCUUUACGUAAGAGAUUUUUACCAGUUCUUGAUAAAUGGCCAAAAAAUGAUUGUUAGAUGUUCAUAUUCUAAUGUGCAAAAUUUGUUCUACGAUUAUGGAAGAAAAUCGGAUCCUACCUUACUUUGUGCACUACCCCUUUGGAAGGUACAAGAAACAUAAACAUGCAAGUCUCAUUGGACUACUUGUCCGAGACAUAAGGUAGUUUAUUCCUAUCGUGGGAUCCCCUAAAUGGCAUUCCCUUUUACGGUUUAUGCAUGAUGUUAUUUUAUCAAAUCAAUAAAAUAUACAAUUUAAACGAUAUCAUGACCUAAAGGGACCCUUUAUACUCCAGGGUGGGCCUAGAAUGAUAUGCAAUUAUUAAUCUAUAUAUGCAAUAUACCAAAAUCUUUAAACGUGCAAUAACCUAUCUAAAAGGUAAGGUUCUAAAAAAAAGAUCAUGCCAAACCUCUUAUUUUCUAAUGUUUGUGAAUGCAAAAGACAAGAAACAAGGACAGUUAGUUCAACACAUAACACGUUGUGGCAAUCAAAUAAUAAAAUAUAGAAAGCAAAAAUAAGGAAAGAGGGUUGGAAUCCCUCCCUUCGUGCCUUGUGUCCCUAAUUUAGGAUAAGGUCGACUCUACCCUAGGCAAUUCUAUUAUGGAUGCAUGAGGUUUGGUUCUCUAAUGCAUAUAGACUCGAUAAGGUUUCGGCUCCCAAGCCUUCAGACCUAAAGGCGAAAGGUCAUCACUCCCAAGGCCUUCGGUCGGUGGCUCGAGUGAUCCCUUAGGCAUCGCUAUGGGCGCAGUGCACACCAUCCGCCUACCUAAGGAAAUCGAUCCUAAUCCUACAGGGAGAUGUGGGAUAGCGCCCACGAUAAAGAAAAAAUAGGGUAAAUAAAACUAUGCAUACACGUAUGAAGUGCUUUUCUUUUGAGAGGAGGGAUUAUACCAUCAAAUGCAGUCGAAGGUUCUAGGGUAAAAUCCCCCCACCCAAAUGCAAUGCAAAGCGCAGGAUAACAUAAAUGAACCAUCCAUCAUUCAAAUCAAACGUACGCAAAUGGGUGAGGGAGUGAGUUGAUAUACGCGAAAUGUAAAAAUCCUAAAAAAGGAAAAAUGCAACACUAAGCAUCCAAAUGCGAUACAUGAAAAGGGUAGAAGAGGAAAAGAAUAACUAAAUCAAGUGCUUGGACCCAUUUAGGAAAUCCCCAGUGGAGUCGCCAAGCUGUCGCGUCCCAUUUUUUAAUAAAGAUAUGUGAAGUAUGGUUUGAAAAUUAGUGAGGUGUGUGAAAAUGCAAAUGAAAGAAAAAGACCAUGGGGCUUUGAAAUGCGACGGUUUGGCCAAAAAUAGUAAUCUAAAAAGGUUUUGAUAAAAUGUAGGAGUCGCCACUUGGUAUUGAGUUAGUGUGUACCAAGUCACCCAAAAAAUGUGGAUUUAAAUGUAAAAUCUUUUUAGAUUGACUCCAAAAUCUAGGAUAAAUCAGAGAAAAAUGGUUCGGGGGUCAUAGUUGAAGAGAGGGAAGACAAAGACAAUGUCUAAUGCACCCUCUCAACCUAGCUUAAGUUAGUUGCAUGAUUUAGUCAUGAUUUUCCUAAUUUCUAACCAAAAGAUGUAUCGCAUUUGGAUGUAACUAAUAUGAAUGUAAUCCUAAACCUAAUGAGGAAUCGAAAGGGACAAAUAUCUCUUAGAGGCUCGAUCGGACUAAAUCAUAUGAGUUGUGAUAGCCAAGGAUAAGCCUUCCAAGAGGUCAUGAGUAAUGCUAAUGAUGAGAGCUUGUGUGAAGUGAAAAAAGUAAUAAUAAAAAUAAUAGUGUGUAAGUGGGGAGUGUGCAAAUGGGGGUGCAAGGUGAGGUAUGUAAAGUGAUCGUGUGAAGUGCAUGUGUGCUCAAUGGUAGUAUGUAAAGUGCUAGUGGUAGAGUGAGAAUGUGUAAGAUAAAAGUCAUGUGAAGUGAAUAUGUGGAAAAAGUAAUAGUAUAUGAAGUGAGAGUGCAAAGUGAUAGUGAGUAAAUGAAAUGCAUGAACCCUAGAGGAAUGCAAGCAAAACGGGUACGGGGAGAGCCUAAAUCGUGACUUUUGCUUUUCCUGUUGGUUAGAAAAAGAAUGAGCGUGCUAAGGCUAUGUGUAGCCAAACUCGUCCAUCCCCCUUACCAAAAGAGUAACUCCCUAAGCUAAUCAGGCAAAUGACCCUAAUGACUAGAGUGAAAUGCAAAAUCCUAAAGAUCAUACUUUGAAUGUGGGAAAAGGGUAAAAGAUCAUGCAAAAACGUAAAAAAUACUAAGAAAAAUGCAUGAAAAUGUUGUGAAGGCAUGCGAGUAUGUACUAGCGAGGGACGGCCCUAUUGGGUCUAGCAUUGGACUAGCCCUUUACUAACGCUUUCUCACAAGCAUUGGACUUGUGAGCGAUCGGGAAUAAGUAACCAUGACUAGCAUUGGACUAGCCACGGUUAUAUAGUACAUUUGCAUUCACCAUAUAUACACAAGUAAAUGGGCAUAGUUAAAGCAAGUAGGCAUGUGAGCACGUAAUUCACAUAACACAUAAGCAUGCAUAUCUAGAUGCUAAAUCCUAGGAAAACGGUAACACAUAGCACGUAAGCAUGCAAACCACACAAAACAAAAUAAAAACAAUAAGUCCUAACUAUUAUAUUCGGGAAGUCCUACUACAAUCUAAAGGGGGAAGUGAAAAUAAAUAAUUAAAAUAAAUACCUAACUAUUACAAUUUGGCAUUUGAAUGCCUUUCAAAUAAUCAACAUUGAACUAAAAUAAAUUUACAAAAGUAACCAAAUAAAGUAACUAAAUGAAUAAAUAAAAUGAGAAUAUUCAAAAGGCAUGAAAUUAAGCACAUAAAGUCACAUAAGGGCACAUAGGAUCAAAUAAAGUAAGAAAUAAGGGAUAGGGUGUACCUCCCUUGAGUUGGGGCUCUAAGGACAUGAAUUACUUAUUUACCCUCCAAAAGAAUAAAAAUGUCAAUGUACCAAUUUAAUUGAGAAAAUUAAAGAAAAUAUGCAAACACAAACUCACUUGGCCAUAAAGCCCUUAAAAUUAUGAAUUAAGUGCAAUUUAGACAAGGCAUGGUGGCUAAUUGAAGAAAACAAGCAAUGGAGUUGCAACAUUAGAGCUGCCAAGGACCCAAUUGUAAAUAUUAGGAAAAUUUUUAGGGCCUGAUCAUGAUUUCCAGAACUCUAGGGCCAAAAUUGAAGAAAAGAUAAAGUUCAGGGCCUAAUUUGAAAUUGCAACAGGGACCCAAUUGAAAGCACUUGUAAAAGUCUUGGGGUCAAAUAUGAAGUCCUAAAAUUCUGGGGUUAAACCACAAAGACAAUAAGACUAAAGGGGCUGAAAUUAUAAAUCCAAACAAGCAAUCAUCCUCUCCAAACAGAUUCGGCAUCAGUUUCCAUUUCCGUCUUCCUUCGCGGAUGGAGAAUACCAGAAAAAUUCAACUCUGGCCACUCCCCAAAAAGAAAAAAAACUCACACAAACUCCCUCUCGUACAAGUUCAUGACAUUAAUUCGAGUUUAUAUAAAAGGAAGAUUAAAACAGAAAAAUGCAAAAAUGAGCACAUCAUAAGCUUCCGGAACUCUAUUUUUCCUCCAUAAAAGUCAUGACAAGCAUUGAAUCUUACUGUCCACUUGUUUUCUUCAUACGUAAUAUGCGGAUGAAUCAUCUUUCAAGUAGAAAUUUCACUCAGGCAUUUUAACAAACAGCAAAUGGGCAUGAAAAAAUUCCAGCAAGUUUUUGCUCAAACGAUGCUAUAACUUGCCCCAAAAAUCAUCAGAAAACACACGAGAUUUCAGUUCCAUUCAUACAUGAAACAGGCGUUCCAAAAUCGUGUAUAAUCAGCAAAAUAAUGAACAAAAUCAGAAAAUAUGCUUUGAGCGUUUCAUGCAUUCGUGUUUGAAGGAAGACUCAAAUUUGAAGUGGAAAGACGGCUUACAGUUUGUUUCUUGGUGAAACUUCGCCAGUGCUGAUGUCGGAUUCGGUUGCUUGGGCCGACGGUUGGCCAAUUGCUUGUGCCGGCAGAGGGUGGAGCCUGAGCUAUGGGGGGAGAGGCGAUGAAGCUGGCGUCGCGCGUGACUGAGGAGGGCGGCAAAAGGCGGUGCGAGCGAUGGUGGGCUUCGGCAUGCGGAGGGAAGGGACGGCGGCGUGCGAAGGGUUACGGCGAGCGUAAGCAACCGGGGAAGCGUCCUCUUCCUCAUUUUCUUUUCCUCUUUCGGCCGAAGCCUUUCUUGCUCUCUGUUUCUUUUUUCUUUCAGUUUUUUUCUCUCCUCCCACUCAGCCGGCCCCUCUAUUCUUUCUUUUGCUUCCUUUCCUUCCUCAAAACCCUAGCCGCCGUUGCUCUCUCCCUCGCCCUUUUCUUUUUCUUUUCUCUGCUUUUUUCUCCUUAGCCCUCAACCGAGAGCCUCUCCCUCUAUUUUUUCUUUCUCUGUUUUCUUUUCUCUCACCCCCCAAACGAAGCUCUCUGUUUUUUUUUCUCUCAAUUUCUCCUAGUCUCCCUCCUCCAGCCGUCAACUCUACUAUCCUCCCCUCUUUUCUCCCGUUGUCUCCUUUUUUCGGUCGUCACUCCCC